rnacentral:rRNA from 1 species
CAAACUUGAGAGUUUGAUCCUGGCUCAGAACGAACGCUGGCGGCAUGCCUAACACAUGCAAGUCGAACGCCCUCUUUUAGAGGGAGUGGCGCACGGGUGCGUAACGCGUGGGAACCUGCCCUUAGGUUCGGAAUAACUCAGAGAAAUUUGAGCUAAUACCGGAUAAUGUCUUCGGACCAAAGAUUUAUCGCCUUUGGAU